GACGAACGCUGGCGGCGUGCUUAACACAUGCAAGUCGAACGGAAAGGCCUCUUUCGGUGGGUACUCGAGUGGCGAACGGGUGAGUAACACGUGAGUAACCUGCCCUUGACUUUGGGAUAACUUCAGGAAACUGGGGCUAAUACCGGAUAGGAGCUCCUGCUGCAUGGUGGGGGUUGGAAAGUUUCGGCGGUUGGGGAUGGACUCGCGGCUUAUCAGCUUGUUGGUGGGGUAGUGGCUUACCAAGGCUUUGACGGGUAGCCGGCCUGAGAGGGUGACCGGCCACAUUGGGACUGAGAUACGGCCCAGACUCCUACGGGAGGCAGCGGUGGGGAAUAUUGCACAAUGGGUGGAAGCCUGAUGCAGCAACGCCGUGUGCGGGAUGACGGCCUUCGGGUUGUAAACCGCUUUCGCUCAUGACGAAGCUUUGUGUGACGGUAGUGGGUAAAGAAGCACCGGCUAACUACGUG
rnacentral:rRNA from 1 species